UUGCAAUCACAUUAGAUUCUUGUGAAAAAAAUAAAGAUAUACUUCUAAUCCAAAGGAAUUCUUUGAACUGUUCUCACAAAAAUUGACGAUGAUAAUACUCUUUACUUUCCUUGUAAUGCAUAUCUAUUACAAUUUUAUGCUUACUUCUUUACACUACCUAAGGUGUGCCACAAACAAAAAUUAUGACGCUAAACUAUNNN
rnacentral:lncRNA from 1 species